UACGGAAUGUGCAAACGUUAUUCGGAAUCACUGGGCUUAAAGAGUCCGUAGGCGGCAUGUUAGGUGAGGUGUGAAAUCCCCCCGGCUCAACCGAGGAAUUGCGCUUCAAACCGGCGUGCUUGAGGAAGAUAGAGGUGGGCGGAACUGAUGGUGGAGCGGUGAAAUGCGUUGAUAUCAUCAGGAACACCGGAGGCGAAGGCGGCCCACUGGGUCUUUUCUGACGCUGAGGGACGAAAGCUAGGGUAGCAAACAGG
rnacentral:rRNA from 1 species